rnacentral:rRNA from 1 species
UCAAAGCGUAUACAAAGUCGAGUCGGUUUAAGGAUACGUUCGUUGGGUAGGGGAGCGUUCUGUAAGCCUGUGAAGGUGGCCUGUGAGGGUUGCUGGAGGUAUCAGAAGUGCGAAUGCUGACAUAAGUAACGAUAAAGCGGGUGAAAAGCCCGCUCGCCGGAAGACCAAGGGUUCCUGUCCAACGUUAAUCGGGGCAGGGUGAGUCGACCCCUAAGGC